UUUUUGAAAAUAAUUUAAAGUAGGGCCUGCCCACUGAAAUAUUUGAAGGGCUGCAGUAUUUUGACUGUACAAAGGUAGCAUAAUCAUUAGUUUUUUAAUUGAAAGCUGGAAUGAAAGGUUUGAUGAAAAAAUCAUUGUCUCAAUAUUAAGAAAUUGAAUUUUAUUUUUAAGUUAAAAAGCUUAAAUAUAGUUAAAAGACGAGAAGACCCUAUAGAGUUUAAUUUACAAAAAAUUUUAAAUUAUAGAAUUAAAAUUUUAUUAUUUGUAAGUAAAUUUAAUUGGGGUGAUUGAAAAAUUAAAAUAACUUUUUUUAAUAAAAUACAUUAAUUUAUGAAUAAUUGAUCCAUAUAAAUGAUUAUAAGAAUAAAUUACCUUAGGGAUAACAGCGUAAUUUUUUUAAAGAGUACAAAUCGAAAAAAAAGAUUGCGACCUCGAUGUUGGAUUAAAAUUAAUUUUUGGUGUAGAAGCUAAAAUAUUAGGUCUGUUCGACCUUUANAAUUUUACA
rnacentral:rRNA from 1 species